AUACGUAGGGUGCAAGCGUUAAUCGGAAUUACUGGGCGUAAAGCGUGCGCAGGCGGUUCGCUAAGACAGAUGUGAAAUCCCCGGGCUUAACCUGGGAACUGCAUUUGUGACUGGCGGGCUAGAGUAUGGCAGAGGGGGGUAGAAUUCCACGUGUAGCAGUGAAAUGCGUAGAGAUGUGGAGGAAUACCGAUGGCGAAGGCAGCCCCCUGGGCCAAUACUGACGCUCAUGCACGAAAGCGUGGGGAGCAAACAGGAUUAGAUACCCUGGUAGUCCACGCCCUAAACGAUGUCAACUGGUUGUCGGGCCUUCAUUGGCUUGGUAACGUAGCUAACGCGUGAAGUUGACCGCCUGGGGAGUACGGUCGCAAGAUUAAA
rnacentral:rRNA from 1 species